rnacentral:lncRNA from 1 species
UCAUGAAAGUACUGGACAUGAGAGUGAGAUAAAUCAGGAUUUCUGAACUCAAGGAGCUUACCCUGACUAUUGAUGGUGGGACAGACAAGUCAACAAUUACAGUACAAUAUCUAUUGAUUGACUCAUGUUUAGCAUAUUGUGUGUAGGCUCUUCUAGGGAAGGGUCAUUUCUUCAUUUUUAUAUCCAUGGCAUCACAAACUGGACAUAUCUUUAUUAUAGCACUUAGCAAACUGAAUUAUCAGUGACUAUCUUACCUGUUUUUACUGGUCAGUGAUUUGGGGCCUUGUUUACCUCUGCAUCCCAUGGCCUAGUUGUUAAAUCUGCAUCCCUAGUGCAGAUUGCUAUUCUAGUUGUUUAACUGUGCAUCCCAUGGCCUAGUUGUUCAAUCAAAUUUUGUUGAAUGACUGCAUGAAAGAAAAAACACAUCGAAGGGCCAGCAAAAGCAAUACAAAGCCUAUUUCUAUUUGGAUAUAGGAGAUGAGAAGUCUAACAGGGUUGUUGCUAUCAGCAAGUCUACCUGUACUUGCAGCCAAGAGACAUAAAAAUGAAAAGGAUGAGAGAAACAUCUUGGUUGUACCCACAGUACUCAAGAAGAAAGAAAUAGUUCCU